GAUCAAGUGAAUAAGUGCAUGUGAUGGAUGCCUUGGCGAUUACAGGCGAUGAAGGACGUGGAAGCCUGCGAAAAGCUUCGGGGAGCUGGCAAACAAGCUGUGAUCCGGAGAUAUCCGAAUGGGGAAACCUGAUUCUUGCUCAAUCAAUUUUGGUUUUGAAGAUUUGAUUGAGCAAGAAUCAACCUUAACUGAAUAUAUAGGUUAAGCGUGGCAAACCUGGAGAACUGAAACAUCUAAGUAACCAGAGGAAAAGAAAUCAAUUGAGAUUCCCAGAGUAGUGGCGAGCGAAAUGGGAGUAGCCAUCAAUAUUUUAGCAUUUGAAUUAAUCGAAUUUUCUGGAAAGUUAAGCCAUAGUGGGUGAUAGUCCCGUAGAUGAAAAUUCAAAUGUAGAACUAAGAUUGAAAUAAGUAAGGCGGGACACGUGAAAUCCUGUUUGAAGAUAGGGGGACCAUCCUCUAAGGCUAAAUACUCGUAAUCGACCGAUAGUGAACAAGUACCGUGAGGGAAAGGUGAAAAGAACCCCGGAAGGGGAGUGAAAUAGAUCCUGAAAUCGCAUGCAUACAAACAGUGGGAGCUUGAUAUAUUAUGUAUCGAGUGACUGCGUACCUUUUGUAUAAUGGGUCAGCGACUUACAUUCAGUAGCAAGCUUAACCGAAUAGGGGAAGCGUAGCGAAAGCGAGUCUUAAUAGGGCGUUUAGUUGCUGGGUGUAGACCCGAAACCAGAUGAUCUACUCAUGGCCAGGAUGAAGCGAGGGUAACACUUCGUGGAGGUCCGAACCCACUAAUGUUGAAAAAUUAGGGGAUGAGCUGUGGGUAGGGGUGAAAGGCUAAACAAAUCUGGAAAUAGCUGGUUCUCUCCGAAAACUAUUUAGGUAGUGCCUUACGUAUCACCUUUGGGGGUAGAGCACUGUUAUGGCUAGGGGGUCAUUGAGACUUACCAAACCAUUGCAAACUCCGAAUACCAAAGAGUGCAAGCGUAGGAGACAGACAUCGGGUGCUAACGUCCGGUGUCAAAAGGGAAACAACCCAGACCCUCAGCUAAGGUCCCAAAGAUAUAGUUAAGUGGGAAACGAAGUGGGAAGGCAUAAACAGUCAGGAGGUUGGCUUAGAAGCAGCCAUCCUUUAAAGAAAGCGUAAUAGCUCACUGAUCGAGUCGUCCUGCGCGGAAGAUGUAACGGGGCUUAAACUAUGCACCGAAGCUAGGGAUUUACAUAUUAUGUAGAUGGUAGGAGAGCGUUCCGUAAGCCUGCGAAGGUGGUUUGUAAAGACUGCUGGAGGUAUCGGAAGUGCGAAUGCUGACAUGAGUAGCGAUAAAGGGAGUGAAAGGCUCCCUCGCCGAAAACCCAAGGUUUCCUGUGCAACGUUCAUCGGCGCAGGGUGAGUCGGCCCCUAAGG
rnacentral:rRNA from 1 species